rnacentral:pre_miRNA from 1 species
CUUCUACUCCCUCCGUCCGAAAAUACUUGUCAUCAAAAUAAAUAAAAGGGGAUGUAUCUAGAUGUAUUUUAGUUCUAGAUACAUCUUUUUUUAUCCAUUUUGAUGACAAGUAUUUUCGGACGGAGGGAGUACUGU